rnacentral:tRNA from 2 species
GUGGUUGUAGCUCAGGGGUAGAGCAGCAGGUUGUGGUUCUGCGGGUCGCGGGUUCGAUUCCCGUCAAUCACCCCA